GCAUACUGGAAAGUGUGCUUGGAAACAAAAGUGUAGCUUAAAUUAAAGCAUCCGGCUUACACCC
rnacentral:tRNA from 1 species